rnacentral:rRNA from 1 species
UACGUAGGUGGCAAGCGUUGUCCGGAUUUAUUGGGUUUAAAGGGUGCGUAGGCGGUCCCAUAAGUCAGUGGUGAAAUACUCUAGCUUAACUAGAGGGGUGCCAUUGAUACUGCGGGACUUGAGUGGAGUUGAAGUGGGCGGAAUUGACGGUGUAGCGGUGAAAUGCUUAGAUAUCGUCAAGAACACCGAUAGUGAAGACAGCUCACUAAGCUCAAACUGACGCUGAGGCACGAAAGUGUGGGGAUCAAACAGGAUUAGAUACCCUGGUAGUCCACACUGUAAACGUUGAUUACUCGCUGUUGGCGAUACACAGCCAGCGGCUAAGCGCAAGCGAUAAGUAAUCCACCUGGGGAGUACGCCGGCAACGGUGAA